rnacentral:ncRNA from 2 species
AUCUUAUCAAGAGAGGUCGAGGGACUGGCCCGUGGAAACCUCAGCAACCGCCACAUAGUGGAAUGGUGCUAAUUCCAGCAAGAAAUUAUUCUUGGAAGAUAAGAG